CCUACGGGCGGCAGCAGUGAGGAAUAUUGGUCAAUGGCCGGAAGGCUGAACCAGCCAUGCCGCGUGAAGGUCAGUGCCCUAUGGGCGUUAAACUUCUUUUGUGCGUGAGCAAUAAUGGUCACGUGUGGCCAGACGAGAGUACCGUACGAAUAAGCAUCGGCUAACUCCGUUCCAGCAGCCGCGGUAAUACGGGGGAUGCAAGCGUUAUCCGGAUUUAUUGGGUUUAAAGGGUGCGUAGGCUGUGAGGUAAGUCAGCGGUGAAAUGCCCACGCUCAACGGGGUGAAGUGCCAUUGAUACUGCCUGGCUGGAAUGCGGAUGCCGUGGGAGGAAUGUGUGGUGUAGCGGUGAAAUGCAUAGAUAUCACACAGAACACCGAUUGCGAAGGCAUCUCACGAAUCCGCGAUUGACGCUGAUGCACGAAAGCGUGGGUAUCAAACAGGAUUAGAUACCCUAGUAGUC
rnacentral:rRNA from 1 species